rnacentral:rRNA from 1 species
UACGUAGGGAGCAAGCGUUGUCCGGAAUCAUUGGGCGUAAAGCGCGCGUAGGCGGCCCUGUAAGUCCGUUGUGAAAGUCAAAGGCUCAACCUUUGAAAGCCGAUGGAUACUGCAGGGCUAGAGUCCGGAAGAGGCGAGUGGAAUUCCUGGUGUAGCGGUGGAAUGCGCAGAUAUCAGGAGGAACACCAAUAGCGAAGGCAGCUCGCUGGGACGGUACUGACACUGAGAAGCGAAAGCAUGGGGAGCGAACAGG